rnacentral:misc_RNA from 1 species
CGAAGAUGUUCCCUGAAAUUAAUUAGGUAGCAGAGAUUAGAAUAGACCAGAUAAGCAUAUAAGGCAACAACAUUUGAUAAUAUGAUGAAAAUUUGGUAAAUUUUCUGGGCAAACUAGCAUGAUGCUUAGACAUUAGUCAUGACCGAUUAUAAGGUUUUAGCAUUGCGUUCAUCUUCUCAGUACCUCAGUGAAACAGAAAAAAGAAAAACAAAAUGAUAUAUAUAUAUAACUUAUUCCUCCAUUUUUUCUGGCAAUCAUAUAGAGGAAAAGGGCAAAUAUUUUCCCUUUUAAACAUUUCAAUUCUGAAAAAACCAGCAGUAAUCAACUACUCAUACCGCAACAUAAUAUCUUUGAACAACGUCAGAAAGACUAAACCAACAAGAGGAGGGAAACCAUGAGAAUUUUUUACAAGAUUGAGAUAUAAAUCCAUAAGCUUCAUG